CAAUAGCGUAUAUUAAAGUUGUUGCAGUUAAAAAGCUCGUAGUUGGAUUUCUGGUUGAAGCGACCGGUCGGGCGUUGAUUCGUCUGCACUGGAGUCGGUUUUGGCCAUCCUCUAGGAAAGUGCGUCUGGUAUUAAGUUAUCGGGCGUAUGAUCCUGGUCUUUUACUGUGGAAAAAUUAGAGUGUUUAAAGCAGGCCUUCGCCUUGAAUACAUUAGCAUGGAAUAAUAAGAUAGGACUUUGGUCUAUUUUGUUGGUUUGCAGACCGAAGUAAUGAUUAAUAGGGAUAGUUGGGGGUAUUUAUAUUCCGAUGUCAGAGGUGAAAUUCUUAGAUUUUCGGAAGAUAAACUUAUGCGAAAGCAUUUACCAAGGAUGUUUNCAUUAA
rnacentral:rRNA from 1 species